GUUAAGGGGUUGAGAGCCAGUGAAGGAAGAGCAGCCGAGGAAGAAGAGGUGAGAGAGCAAGAAGCAAGAGAAGGGAGAGCGUGCCCUGAAUGAGUUGGUAGAAUUGCGAAGCCUCAAUUGCACUGAGGACGUUUCACUUCAACGGCCCCAGGCUUGGCUAAACCUCUGGGUCCUUUCAGCUGCUGUGAAAGUGCAUAGUAACUGCUGGUCUUUUCUUGUUGGUAUCUUCAGUCACACAUAGAACCCAGCUUGGAGGAAUUCU